rnacentral:rRNA from 1 species
AGAGUUUGAUCCUGGCUCAGGAUGAACGCUGGCGGCGUGCCUAAUACAUGCAAGUCGAACGAGGCCCUUUGUAUUCGUACGAAGGUGUCCUAGUGGCGAACGGGUGAGUAACACGUAGGUGACCUGCCCCGAAGCGGGGGACAACUCCGGGAAACUGGAGCUAAUACCCCAUGUUUUCCAUGGUGUUAGAGGACCAUGGAGCAAAGGAGCAAUCCACUUUGGGAGGGGCCUGCGGCCCAUCAGCUAGUUGGUAGGGUAAUGGCCUACCAAGGCUAUGACGGGUAGGGGACCUGAGAGGGUGGUCCCCCACACUGGAACUGAAACACGGACCAGACACCUACGGGUGGCAGCAGUAGGGAAUUUUGCACAAUGGGCGAAAGCCUGAUGCAGCAACGCCGCGUGCGCGAUGAAGGCCUUCGGGUUGUAAAGCGCUUUUCUGGGGGAAGAGGAAGGACGGUACCCCAGGAAUAAGUCUCGGCUAACUACGUGCCAGCAGCCGCGGUAAAACGUAGGAGGCGAGCGUUAUCCGGAUUUACUGGGCGUAAAGCGCGUGUAGGCGGUUAGGUAAGUCGGACGUGAAAGCUCCCGGCUCAACUGGGAGAGGCCGUUCGAAACUACCUGACUUGAGGGCAGUAGAGGGAGGUGGAAUUCAGGGUGUAGCGGUGAAAUGCGUAGAUAUCCUGAGGAACACCAGUGGCGAAGGCGGCCUCCUGGGCUGACCCUGACGCUCAGACGCGAAAGCUAGGGUAGCAAACGGGAUUAGACACCCCGGUAGUCCUAGCUGUAAACGAUGCAGACUUGGUGUUGGCAGUUUAAACACUGUCAGUGCCGUAGCUAACGCGAUAAGUCUGCCGCCUGGGGACUACGACCGCAAGGUUAAAACUCAAAGGAAUUGACGGGGGCCCGCACAAGCAGCGGAGCGUGUGGUUUAAUUCGAGGCUACGCGAAGAACCUUACCUGGGUUUGACA